GAUGAACGCUGGCGGCGUGCUUAACACAUGCAAGUCGAACGAUGAAGCCCAGCUUGCUGGGUGGAUUAGUGGCGAACGGGUGAGUAACACGUGAGUAACCUGCCCUUGACUCUGGGAUAAGCCUGGGAAACUGGGUCUAAUACUGGAUAUGACUUCUCAUCGCAUGGUGGGGGGUGGAAAGAUUUAUUGGUCUUGGAUGGACUCGCGGCCUAUCAGCUUGUUGGUGAGGUAAUGGCUCACCAAGGCGACGACGGGUAGCCGGCCUGAGAGGGUGACCGGCCACACUGGGACUGAGACACGGCCCAGACUCCUACGGGAGGCAGCAGUGGGGAAUAUUGCACGAUGGGCGCAAGCCUGAUGCAGCGACGCCGCGUGAGGGAUGACGGCCUUCGGGUUGUAAACCUCUUUCAGUAGGGAAGAAGCGAGAGUGACGGUACCUGCAGAAGAAGCGCCGGCUAACUACGUG
rnacentral:rRNA from 1 species